rnacentral:rRNA from 1 species
AGCGAACGCUGGCGGCAGGCCUAACACAUGCAAGUCGAACGAACCUUUCGGGGUUAGUGGCGGACGGGUGAGUAACACGUGGGAACGUGCCUUUAGGUUCGGAAUAACUCAGGGAAACUUGUGCUAAUACCGAAUGUGCCCUUCGGGGGAAAGAUUAAUCGCCUUUAGAGCGGCCCGCGUCUGAUUAGCUAGUUGGUUGAGGUAAUGGCUCACCAAGGCGACGAUCAGUAGCUGGUCUGAGAGGAUGAUCAGCCACAUUGGGACUGAGACACGGCCCAAACUCCUACGGGAGGCAGCAGUGGGGAAUCUUGCGCAAUGGGCGAAAGCCUGACGCAGCCAUGCCGCGUGAAUGAUGAAGGUCUUAGGAUUGUAAAAUUCUUUCACCGGGGACGAUAAUGACGGUACCCGGAGAAGAAGCCCAGGCUAACUUCGUG